CUCAAUUCCCAUCCAAGUAAAUAUGUGCAUGCCUUUCAUUUAGCUGACUGGCACCCUUCUCUCUGGCUGGCAGCGGAUUAGCACACUGAAUCCCAUCCCUGAGAUGUCCUGGCACACAUCCUGGGCCCCUCUGUGAAGUGUUUGCCAUGGCCUCGAGCCCCUCAGGUUGAGUGCACUUGUCUGCAAAGGGCUGUGUUGUACAGCAACAUGGGACCCACGAAGGAAGCCUUAUGAUUCAUUUUUCAUCUCAUCAUUACUCGCCUUGCCUGUAUGCCAAGGCUGGGAAGCAAUGGGCCAGAGGUUUGUGCUCUGAGCAAUUCUGAAUCAUGUGGAGAAUAUGAAGGAAAAUGAGAAGUUUAAAAAUACUCCAUAGGAAAGAAAUGCCUAAUGAAUGCUUUAUGGCUGAGAAAUGAUGGAGGAAGCGAGUGAGACUGAAGAGAUGAAGAAACUGAGGCACACAGAGAGAGACCCGGACAUGGCAUUCCCAGCAGUACUCAGGCACAAAGGCUUCUGCUCUAGAACUCCCUUCUUCUUACUCCAGAAGUGUUGGAUGAUGCUAUGGGAAACAGAUGAGUUUGUCCAGGGAACCAUGUGGAGUAUGAACAGAAGGAAGGCAAGAAAGGAACUCGUCAAACGGAUCGAAGAUAAGAGAUGGAUGGGCCCGGGACAUCUUCCCCAGUGGCUCUUGUCCACGGGACACCUGGCUUGUACCCACAGAAAGUUGGCUUCCAGCCAUGCUUGAGUGAGAACAGUGAGUGCCCUUGCCUUCCUACAGUGAGUACUCAAUAAAUGAUCACUGCCAUUGUCACAUAAUAAUGUGGCUAUUAUGAUCAUGGACAGAGC
rnacentral:lncRNA from 1 species